rnacentral:misc_RNA from 1 species
UUAUAAAAUAUUCUGUCCUUAAUUUUUAUUUCAUAAUUAAUAUUAAUUCCAAUCACAACUAAUGGUAACUUUAUUUUAUGUUAAAUCGGUAACGGAGUGACACGGAAAUGAUAAAGACGCUUACUAUCUAUGUAGGGCAAUGUUGGGGCCAAGAAACCCUGAUGCGCCAUCUCCGUGUGUCUGCGAAGACAAAAGGCAUCGUGUCCAACGUGCGAAAAAAACGUGCACGCGCGCCUACAUAUACAUAAAGACGCUUGCCAACUUCAGUCGUGAGAUAAAUCCUCGUCAGUGGAUAAAUAUCUCGGCCUUCAUGUGGUGGUUCCAUAAAAACAAGAUUCUAAGUGGCUUAACCAUAGAAACUUCCUUUAACGCGUUCACUGGGAGAGAAAGGAAGCGAACAACGCGAAAGCUAUUGGUCGGUAAAAGCAGUGGCAUUGGAAUUUACGUGUUACUCGUGAAACGUCAGCCUGAAGGUGGCCAAAUACAUCGUUGACGCGAGAGAACAACGCAGAAAUAGGACGGGCCGUUUCGAGGAAGAGAGAUCGGCCGCCUGUACAACGGAUGGAGACGUGGUUGGAUAAAGCGUGUCGGAGCAAGGGAGGGAACACGUAGUAAUUCACCAGAGCACGUAUGCGUAGCCUAAGUGAUACUACGUGACGAUUUAUGUUGGUG